rnacentral:rRNA from 1 species
AGCGGCGGACGGGUGAGUAACGCGUGGGUAACCUGCCUCGUACAGGGGGAUAACAGUUAGAAAUGACUGCUAAUACCGCAUAAGACCACAGCACCGCAUGGUGCAGGGGUAAAAACUCCGGUGGUAUGAGAUGGACCCGCGUCUGAUUAGCUAGUUGGUAAGGUAACGGCUUACCAAGGCGACGAUCAGUAGCCGACCUGAGAGGGUGAACGGCCACAUUGGGACUGAGACACGGCCCAA